GAGACAGGGACUUCUGCAUCUUGAACAAAAUGCACCAAUCCAAACUUCUUCCUGGAUGAUUUAUGUACAUCAGAUGGUGGAGAGAGAGAAAGAGUAUCAAGAUCUGCCAGAACUGCCACCUUAAUAUCACAGCCUAAAAGCAGGUGAAGGUAUUGAAAGAUACCCAAGUGCCAGCUAUUCCUUUUCAUCCUUGGCUGUGUGACAGGUGUGGGGAUGGUGUACAUCAUGAGAAGGGGCUGGUAGACAACACUUCCCCUCUGCACAUCAGAGGUGUGAAAGGCACUGUAGCUUUUGGGGGCAAAAUGUUCUUGUGGGGAUGAUGCAAUUCUGCAGUUGCCUGAAUUCAGAGCUGUGCUUACAGGCCACAAGAGAAUCCAUCACUCCUGCCUGUCUAGUUUCCAACUUAAAAGUAGCUUUGGUACUGAUUUCCAUAGAAACAUCCAUUGCUUAGCAUAAUAAUAAUGGGCUGCAGAGGUGAAUACCCCUGGCUCUGCCUUUUUGCUUUGUAAAGUUCUCACACAUAGGGUGGCUUUAGUUCUUCCUGAAGCACUGCCUGGGGUGGUGUCAUUGUUCCCAAUGUGAAACAGACUGUAAUUUGCAGAGGCUGUUCCUCAAACUUUUAUAGAAGAAUAAAAGUUUGGAUUUGUUUCCAUCA